rnacentral:rRNA from 1 species
AUUGAACGCUGGCGGCAGGCCUAACACAUGCAAGUCGAGCGGCAGCGGGAAAGUAGCUUGCUACUUUUGCCGGCGAGCGGCGGACGGGUGAGUAAUGCCUGGGAAAUUGCCCAGUCGAGGGGGAUAACAGUUGGAAACGACUGCUAAUACCGCAUACGCCCUACGGGGGAAAGCAGGGGACCUUCGGGCCUUGCGCGAUUGGAUAUGCCAGGUGGGAUUAGCUAGUUGGUGAGGUAAUGGCUCACCAAGGCGACGAUCCCUACCUGGUCUGAGAGGAUGAUAAGCCACACUGGAACUGAGACACGGUCCAGACUCCUACGGGAGGCAGCAGUGGGGAAUAUUGCACAAUGGGGGAAACCCUGAUGCAGCCAUGCCGCGUGUGUGAAGAAGGCCUUCGGGUUGUAAAGCACUUUCAGCGAGGAGGAAAGGUUGAUGCCUAAUACGUAUCAACUGUGACGUUACUCGCAGAAGAAGCACCGGCUAACUCCGUGCCAGCAGCCGCCGUAACAC